AUAUCAGAAGUUGAUUUUUUGAGGCAAGGGGUUUUUAGUAACGUUUACCAGUUUGGGCUGUUUGGGAGAAUAGAGAGAAGACCACACUCCACAGUGGGCUAUACCACUUAGCAUAGUUCGCUGCUAUUUUGUGGUCUACAUU
rnacentral:snoRNA from 1 species